rnacentral:rRNA from 1 species
CAAAGGUAGCGUAAUCACUUGUCUUAUAAAUAAAGACCCGUAUGAAUGGCUAAAUGAAUAUUUAACUGUCUCCUUCAACCAAUCAGUGAAACUGAUCUUUCAGUACAAAAGCUGAAAUGCAAUAAUAAGACGAGAAGACCCUGUGGAGCUUUAAAUUUACACCAAACUGUACAUAAAAUAGUUUAUGAGAAAAAAUUUUUAGUUGGGGCGACUUUGGAGUAAAAUACAACCUCCAAGAAAAGGCACCGCCUAAACAAGACCUACAAGCCAAAACUAAACGACCCAGUAUUUCUGAUUAACGAACCAAGUUACCCCAGGGAUAACAGCGCCAUCUUCUUCAAGAGUUCAUAUCGACAAGAAGGUUUACGACCUCGAUGUUGGAUCAGGACACCCAAAUGGUGCAGCCGCUAUUAAAGGUUCGUUUGUUCAACGAUUAACA